GAUUUUGAAAUGUGAUUCCAUAAUUGCUAUUUUUUUUUUUUAGACGGAGGGUUGCUAUUGUUGUCCAGGCUGGAGUGCAAAAGCAGGAUCUCAGCUCACUAUGACCUCCACCUCCCUCCUGGGUUCAAGCGAUUCUCCUGCCUCAGCCUCCCGAGUAGCUGGGAUUAAAGACAUGCACCACCAUGCCCAGCUAUUUUUGUAUUUUUAGUACAGAUGGAGUUUCUCCAUGUUGGUCAGGCUGGUGUAGAACUCCCGACCUCAGGUGAUCCACCCGCCACGGCCUCUCAAAGUGCUGGGAUUACAGGCGUGAUGACCCACUGCGGUCAGACAGGACUGCUGGAUUAUGAAGGAACUGAGAACCACAAUGAGUGAGGACUGGUUAAAGAAACAAGUGAUGUUUACCCUGAGAAUGACUGACAUUUCAGUGAAGAAAUUGAGAGUAGUCUUUGAAUAAUUGAAAGCCUACUGUAAGAAGAGGGUUUCAGCUGGAUGUGUUUUAUAGACCCCUAGGCUCCAUGGCAUGGUAAGCCCCUAGUGAAUGUUUAUUGAGCGAAUAAAUCCUGUACUGCUCCCACAGCAUGGACCAAGACCAUGGGCUGCCAUGGCGUCCUGGGCCUGAACUGAGGCCUGCCAGGGGCAAUCCCCUCACUCUCCUUUGAUCAGAAGGCUGCAUGUGCUCUACAUUUCAGGAGUGACCCUGUGAACUGGGAUAUCCAGACUCCAAAUGAUGAGUAACAUUUGCUUGGAAUUUUUAAAAAAGCUUUAUUUAUCUAACAGUUGGGUUAUUAAUAGGUACCUCGGUAAAAUAAAGUACUUUGGCUUCACUUUCCAUAAACAGUUUCCUCAAACACUGACUACGUUACAUCAAUAAUGAAUGUGUUCUGUCUACUUUGUUGUCUCCAGAACCGAUUUUCCUUACCUUCAAUUAGUGAUAUGUGACAGAGUCAGGUGUUAUCACUAUUAUCUCAAAAGCAUGUUUUCUUUUUUUAUUUCUUUUUCUUAGAGACCAGGUCUUGCUCUGUUGCCUUAGCUGGUCUCGAACUCCUGGCCUCAAGCAAUCCGCCUGCCUUGGCCUCCCAAAGUGUUGGGAUUAUGAGCAUGAGCCACCACACCCAGCUUGAAAAUCUGUUUCUUAAGGAGUAACGUAGAACACAUAACAUUCUUAAGUAUACCCCAGCCAUCUCCAACUAAGCCAAAUUGUUUAAAAGUUGUAUAAUAUUUAAAAUUAAGGAUAUUGUAUUUCAACUUCCCUAAAAACAAUGUAUUACAUCUUAGAAUACAUGUGCCAUAACCUCACUUUUGUGACAAAUAGUAGUACAUUUC
rnacentral:lncRNA from 1 species